rnacentral:rRNA from 1 species
GAUGAACGCUAGCUACAGGCUUAACACAUGCAAGUCGAGGGACCGGCGCACGGGUGAGUAACACGUAUCCAACCUGCCCUUUACUCGGGGAUAGCCUUUCGAAAGAAAGAUUAAUACCCGAUAUAAAGGAUGGGGAUGCGUUCCAUUAUGUUGUUGGUAAGGUAACGGCAAACCAAGCCUUCGAUGGCUAGGGGUUCUGAGAGGAAGGUACCCCACAUUGGAACUGAGACACGGUCCAAACUGGUACGGGGGGGAGCAGUAAGGAAUAUAGGUCAAUGGGCGCUAGCCUGAACCAGCCAAGUAGCGUGAAGGAUGAAGGAUUAUGGGUCGUAAACUUCUUUUAUAUAAGAAUAUGUAUUAUAUGAAUAAGGAUCGGCUAACUCCGUGCCAGCAGCCGCGGUAAUAC